rnacentral:rRNA from 1 species
UACAGAGGUCUCAAGCGUUGUUCGGAUUCAUUGGGCGUAAAGGGCGCGUAGGCGGCGUGGUAAGUCACUUGUGAAAUCUCUGAGCUUAACUCAGAACGGCCAAGUGAUACUGCUGUGCUAGAGUGCAGAAGGGGCAAUCGGAAUUCUUGGUGUAGCGGUGAAAUGCGUAGAUAUCAAGAGGAACACCUGAGGUGAAGACGGGUUGCUGGGCUGACACUGACGCUGAUGCGCGAAAGCCAGGGGAGCAAACGGG